rnacentral:rRNA from 1 species
GAUGAACGCUGGCGGCGUGCCUAAUACAUGCAAGUCGAGCGAACAGACGAGGAGCUUGCUCCUCUGACGUUAGCGGCGGACGGGUGAGUAACACGUGGAUAACCUACCUAUAAGACUGGGAUAACUUCGGGAAACCGGAGCUAGUACCGGAUAAUAUAUUGAACCGCAUGGUUCAAUAGUGAAAGACGGUUUUGCUGUCACUUAUAGAUGGAUCCGCGCCGCAUUAGCUAGUUGGUAAGGUAACGGCUUACCAAGGCAACGAUGCGUAGCCGACCUGAGAGGGUGAUCGGCCACACUGGAACUGAGACACGGUCCAGACUCCUACGGGAGGCAGCAGUAGGGAAUCUUCCGCAAUGGGCGAAAGCUUGACGGAGCAACGCCGCGUGAGUGAUGAAGGUCUUCGGAUCGUAAAACUCUGUUAUUAGGGAAGAACAAAUGUGUAAGUAACUAUGCACGUCUUGACGGUACCUAAUCAGAAAGCCACGGCUAACUACGUG